AAUCUUCCGCAAUGGACGAAAGCCUGACGGAGCAAUGCCGCGUGGUGGAUGAAGGCCCUCGGGUUGUAAACACCUGUCAGUAGGGAGGAAAUUUUGACCGAUCUACAGAGGAAGUCCGGGCUAAGUACGUGCCAGCAGCCGCGGUAAUACGUACCGGACAAACGUUAUUCGGAAUCACUGGGCUUAAAGAGUACGUAGGCUGCCUUGAAGGUGAGAUGUGAAAUCCCACGGCCCAACCGUGGAACUGCAUUUCAAACCACAAGGCUUGAGGGAGACAGGGGUGAGCGGAACUGAUGGUGGAGCGGUGAAAUGCGUUGAUAUCAUCAGGAACACCGGUGGCGAAGGCGGCUCACUGGGUCUUUUCUGACGCUGAGGUACGAAAGCUAGGGUAGCGAACGGGAUUAGAUACCCCGGUAGUCUUAGCCGUA
rnacentral:rRNA from 1 species